rnacentral:lncRNA from 1 species
AUUGGAAUGCCAAAAGUCAUGUGGGUGAAUGAUGUAAGGAUAGGACAUGCAUGAAUAAAUUGGUGGAUAAAUAAGCUGUAGAUGGGUUCUGCUCUGCAGGCCACUUUCAGCAGCAAGCAGAACUCCUCCUCUCCUUCUUUAAGAGAUCUGUUCAGCCUUGAAGAUGUCAAGCUCAUGGUGACGGAAGGUUGGUUGAAAGCUCCAUACAAUCCUGACAAAGUCAUCUCACUCCACAAGCAGAGUUUAUUGCGGUCUAUAUCAUCCUUACAUAUCAUCCCUGUUGCUUCCUCAGAGUGGGAAAUAAGAAGCAAUCAUAAUCCUUUAUCAAUACAUCAUAUUCUCUUCAUGGUUAUGGUAUAA